AGCCUGGGCGACAGAGUGAGACUCUGUCUCAAAAAAAAAAAAAAAAAAAGAAAGAAAAAGAAAAUGAGAUAACUUACUUCCUCAAUUUUCCCCCUCCCAGCAACCCUCAAAUUUCUAUUUUAAUUGAUUUAAAAUUACUAUCUAGUGUAUUAGUAAAUUUUUUCACACUUCGUUAGUGAAAAAAAAAAGAAUUUUAAAAAACCAACCUGAAAUAUUAGACUUUUUACCUGUAACUGGGUCUGAACAAUCUAGUUCUCAUAAAGCAGAAAAAACCGAAACUUGUGGAAGCAAGCAGCUUAUUAUCAUGAAGAAGACUUCAGCCUUCCAGUUUCUGGAUGAAACUAGGGGCAGUAAUAUUAGAAACCCGAGUGGACCCUUUGCCUGAGAAACAUGUUCAUCUCUUAGUAAUUUGGACUAGAGAGCAUGCAAAAUAUGCAUCAAUAUAAAAUCAACUAACACAGAUUCCAGGGUCACAAGCCCAAAUAACAGUAAGAUCUGUAAAUAUCAAGGAAAACGUAGAUUUAAAAUUUCAGAUCAGAUUCAUUCCUCCACUCACAGCUUAUACAUAUUGUGGUCAGAAGCUGGAAGUAAGCCUAUGCUCUAAUUAACUCUGCUCUGGGAGGCGAGGCUCUCACGAGAGAGAGGAGAGAGAUGGGGGUGGGGGGUGGAGAGGAUUGGGAGCACUUCAGAGAAAAGAUCUGAGAGAAAAGCCUGGGACUCUGCCACCCAGCUCCCUGGCCCCUGGGAGAAGCCAUGGCAGAUAUUUGGGAUGAGGCAGCAUGCUGGUCCCUCAGCAGCAUCCUUAUCACGUCAGCUGUGAGAGAAAUAAAACUGUGAGACUGUGAAGUGUAUAAAGGAUUCUACCGCUCUCCCGGGGCUUGGAGACCCACAGAUUGGAGAAAUCUCCAUCUCAAUCUUCUUUGCCACGUCAUGCAUGCCCUUGAAGCAUUAGAAUUCCUUAAAGCUUCAUGGGAGAAUGCCAUGGGAUGAUGAAGACAGAGAUUGGAGUCAUGCAUCUGCAAGCCAAGAAAUGUACAAGAUUGCUGGCAAACCACCAGAAGCUAGGAGCAGACAAGGAAGGAUCCUCCCCUAAAGGUUUCAGAGGGAGCCAUGGCCUUGCUGACAUCUUGAUUUCAGACUUCUAUCCUCCAGAAUGGGGACCUCUGAGGGUCUAUUUGAGGGCAUGAAUAUGGAAAAUUCAGCUCCAGCUCCUCCACCCCACUCCCUGAACAGCACUGCAGAACUGUGCUAAGCUCCUGUGGCUUGGAAAGAACAGAUGCAAGAGACAUAAUAAAUGCCUCCAAAUAACUUAGUCCUCAACCUGAAGCCAAAGUGAUUUCGGUGUACCAGGAUUGAAAUACUUCUGUAUUCACAACUGAAUGGAUAAACGGGCACUCCUUGUGGCUCCUCAUUGUAUGUCCCCUAGAGGGUCAGCAAGGCCAAGAAUUGGUUUGUGGAACAAAUAUCCAUUACUCCAAUCGGGGAUGAAAAAGAGUACACGCCAUGGAUUUUGCUCUCGGGAGUGAUUGAUUCAGCGAGUGAAAUAAGACCAACAUGCAUGGAAGGGUUGAUGAUGCUAGAAUCUCCCACACUUUGCCAGCCACAGGGAAGUCAAAUCAGUAUUGACUUUGUUAUUCAAAUCAGCACCAGACCGGUCACUUUUAGAAGUGAUACCAUGGGAGGCAAUUAAACCCAGGAAAAUGCUGAGCACUAGAGUGACCAUGCAAGAAGGGGCCUUAGAGAUAGAUCCUGUACGUCUUCACCUGUUGGUGCCAGGGCCAGAACAGAGGCCUGCAAGGGUAAGAGCAAGCUCAGCACCACAGAACUUGUAGGUAACAGAGCCGGGCUCAAGUGCACGCUUCCUGACUGCAAUUUCAACACUCCCAUUCAAGGUGAGAGUGAAAAAUAUUUUCCCCUAGGCUUUCCCCAGUGAUAUUCCCCUAUGCACCAGCAGAGCAUGAGGGUAUGAGACGAAGAUGCACAUCCUAGCCCUAGCUUUGCUACUGACUAGCCACGUGUGUUUGAGCAACUCACAAAACUUCUCCAGAUUUCAGACUCCUCAUUUGUAAAAUAAAGUCAUUUGAUUUGUCCAUUGCUCUCCAUAGUUCACCAAAGUGCCCCUCGUAGGAGAGUGGAAUGGAUGAUGUUUAGAGUAGAAGCUUGGAGAUGUGGCAAUAAGUGACCUUGUGCAAGUGAGAAAUGCACUCAAUAUAUUGGAAUUUGUCUGUCUUAAUAAUUUGUGUGGCUUCUACAUUUUACUUAGUAAUAUAUCUGUGUUUGCUUUCGGGUGAAAAUACUGUUUGAAAUGUCUUACUAUCCAUGAAACUUGGUUUACCAAAGAGGGCCUGUUUUCCCUGAGGUACAAGGACUAGAAGGUUUUCUGAGGCCACCCCCAGCCCCCAUUCAUUGAUUUCGUGUCUUAAGUUGUUUGUGUUUUUUAUUUUAUCACACCCUCCUAUUUCUGGUUCCCAGAAUGUAAGUAGUUCUCCCUCCACAAUGUUCAACAGUCCUCAAUAAUGCCCGGCUAUGUGAAGAUGGAAAGAUGAGGGAAAAUUAGCACCAUAAGCAGAGUCUGGAAAGGUACACAGACAUUUAACAGAUGGAAACAGGAGGGCUGCCAUUCUAGAAAGAUAUGAGGACUGCUCAUCAGCCUGGCUUCCGCUAGAGGAGAUCUAC
rnacentral:lncRNA from 10 species